rnacentral:rRNA from 1 species
AACGAACGCUGGCGGCAUGCCUAACACAUGCAAAUCGAACGAACCCUUCGGGGUUAGUGGCGCACGGGUGCGUAACGCGUGGGAAUCUGCCCUUUGCUUCGGAAUAACUCAGGGAAACUUGUGCUAAUACCGGAUGAUGUCUUCGGACCAAAGAUUUAUCGGCAAGGGAUGAGCCCGCGUAGGAUUAGGUAGUUGGUGGGGUAAAGGCCUACCAAGCCGACGAUCCUUAGCUGGUCUGAGAGGAUGAUCAGCCACACUGGGACUGAGACACGGCCCAGACUCCUACGGGAGGCAGCAGUGGGGAAUAUUGGACAAUGGGCGCAAGCCUGAUCCAGCAAUGCCGCGUGAGUGAUGAAGGCCCUCGGGUCGUAAAGCUCUUUUACCAGGGAUGAUAAUGACAGUACCUGGAGAAUAAGCUCCGGCUAACUCCGUG